GACGAACGCUGGCGGCGUGCUUAACACAUGCAAGUCGAACGAAGUGGCGAACGGGUGAGUAACGCGUAAUCAACCUGCCCUUCAGAGGGGGACAACAGUUGGAAACGACUGCUAAUACCGCAUACUGAAGGUGGGGAUUGCGUCUGAUUAGCUAGUUGGCGGGGUAACGGCCCACCAAGGAGAUGAUCAGUAGCCGGGCUGGGAGGGUGAACGACCAAAUUGGGACUGAGACACGGCCCAGACUCCUACGGGAGGCAGCAGGGGGGAAUCUUCCGCAAUGGACGAAAGUCUGACGGAGCAACGGCGCGUGAGUGGUGACGGCCUUCGGGUUGGAAAGCUCUGUUAAUCGGGGCGCGGUACCGGAAUAGAAAGCCACGGCUAACUACGUGCCAGCCGCCGCGGUAAUAC
rnacentral:rRNA from 1 species